CACGUAGGGGGCAAGCGUUGUCCGGAUUUAUUGGGCGUAAAGAGCUCGUAGGCGGUUCGGUAAGUUGGGUGUGAAACCUCCAGGCUCAACCUGGAGACGCCACCCAUACUGCUGUGACUAGAGUCCGGUAGGGGAGCGUGGAAUUCCUGGUGUAGCGGUGAAAUGCGCAGAUAUCAGGAGGAACACCGGUGGCGAAGGCGGUUCUCUGGGCAUGUCCUGACGCUGAGGAGCGAAAGUGUGGGGAGCGAACAGG
rnacentral:rRNA from 1 species